CUGUAAUAGCUGGGAGGACAAGAUGUUUUCACAGCAAUAGAUUCAAGUCAGACUCCAGGGAGGCAACUUGACAGUGGAAACAAAUAAGAUAGGAGAUACUCAUACUCAGCUUCAAAACCACAGGAUUGUCACUGGCAUCAUCCAAGAGUACUCGUGGAGAAGAGACCAAUGUCUAGGUCUUCUGGAAGACCCUGGAAUCUGCUGGUCAAGCUUAGCUCUCCUUCCAACC
rnacentral:lncRNA from 1 species